GUUGCUAUGGUAACAGAAGUUCUAGAUGAAGAACCAAGUCAGGAAGAAACAUGAUACCACAAGACUGAUGCAUAUGUGAACACACAGAGACCGUCAUCAUACAGACGGCCUACACAGUUCCAAGCCAGACAGGGUCCAAGUGCUGAGAGGGAGAAGUAGGCGAGAACUCCCACCCCUAAACAAGAAGCUAUCUGCAAUUGACAUCCCCUGCAAAAGAAGAAUUUGUUUCCCCCAAUGAAGUCUCGUUGUGCAUAUUAUCCACAUUUAAAGCAGCUCCUGACUCCUCACAAAUGUGACUCUGCCUGACUUUGAGUGUCCUCCAGAAUCAAUGCCUCAGCUUGCUGAUCCAUCCUGAUUCCAACAGGAGGAACCAGUGGCAAUUCAGUCAAACAGACAGGCCAAUAACUUGUAUCAGAAGGAACAGAUGUGACUACGGGAUGCAGUUAUACACCAAAAGGGCACCC